AGAGUCAACGCUGGCGGCGUGCCUAACACAUGCAAGUCGAACGAGAAAGUGGAGCAAUCCAUGAGUAAAGUGGCGCACGGGUGAGUAACACGUGACUAACCUACCCUUGAGUGGGGAAUAACUUCGGGAAACCGAGGCUAAUACCGCAUAACACCUACGGGUCAAAGGAGCAAUUCGCUUAAGGAGGGGGUCGCGGCAGAUUAGUUAGUUGGCGGGGUAAUGGCCCACCAAGACGGUGAUCUGUAUCCGGCCUGAGAGGGCGCACGGACACACUGGAACUGAAACACGGUCCAGACUCCUACGGGAGGCAGCAGUGGGGAAUUUGCGCAAUGGGGGAAACCCUGACGCAGCAACGCCGCGUGGAGGAUGAAGUCCCUUGGGACGUAAACUCCUUUCGAUCGGGACGAUUAUGACGGUACCGGAAGAAGAACGCCCCGGCUAACUUCGCGCCAGCAGCCGC
rnacentral:rRNA from 1 species